rnacentral:tRNA from 1 species
GAGGGUGUAGCUCAAGUGGUAGAGCGCAUGCUUAACAUGCAUGAGGUCCUGGGUUCAAUCCCCAGUCCCUCC